GUCCACGCCGUAAACGAUGUCAAUUAGCCGUUGGGAAUCUUGUAUUCUUAGUGGCGCAGCUAACGCGAUAAAUUGACCGCCUGGGGAGUACGGCCGCAAGGUUAAAACUCAAAUGAAUUGACGGGGGCCCGCACAAGCGGUGGAGCAUGUGGUUUAAUUCGAUGCAACGCGAAGAACCUUACCAGGUCUUGACAUCCUGAGAACUUUCUAGAGAUAGAUUGGUGCCUUCGGGAACUCAGUGAC
rnacentral:rRNA from 1 species